CGCCGCGCUCCGCUGGCUGGGCCGUGCUGGCCCCUGGCGCUCGGCAGCUGACUCCAUCCAGAUGUGCCGCGGCUCCAGAGUGGCUGCCGCGCACAGUAAAUGGGCAUCGGAGGCUCGUCAAUCCGGGCCAGAGCAAUUGCGGUCUCGGGGCCGCCCCACUGGCACUCGGAAAGGGUCUCACUCUUUCACCCAGGCAGAAGAGCAGUGGUACGAUCUUGGUUCACUACAGCCUUGACCUCCUGGGCUCAAGUGAUCCUUCCACCUCAGCCUCCGGAGUAGCUGGGACCACAGGAAUGCAAUACCAUGUCUGGCUAAUUUUUGUACUUUUGGUAGAGGCGGGGUCUUCCUACCUUACCAGGGCUGGUCUCAAACUCCCGGGCUCAAGCGAUCCUCCUUGCCUUGGCCUCCCAAAGUACUGAGAUUACAGGCAUGAGCCGCUGCACAGAGCCCCACUAACUAUUUUUUGAAUAAAUCUGAGUUCCUGAAAUAUUGAAUACAAUCUGUUUAGAGGAAGAAGCUGUAAAACUGUAAUAAGAUGAAAGAAGAAGAAAGGAAGAAAAGGAGGAGCGAAAGGAGGAGGGGAAGAAACUGAUUCAUGCAGGUUAAAUAAUAUCAUAAUUAUUCCACCGUAAUUUUUUUGCACUUUAAAGUACUCACCUGUCUAUUCUGUACUGGAGUUCUGACCUUGUUUCUGGUCUACCACACUGCUGCAUUUUCAAACCAAGAAUUCACUGAGAGCGAAUAGGAAGGCUCGUGCACCAGAGAGACUAUUCUGAUUUAUUUCUUAAUUAUUUAUCAACAAAACUUAAUUGGCACACUUAUUGAGAGAGUUUCAAAUCAGCGUGCUGGGCGCUGGGAAGCGCGCUGGGUGCUGAGACGCGGGAAGCCACAGCUUCUCUGGAGAAGCUCGCAUUCUGAAAGGAAGCGUUGGGAGAGGACAUGGAUGAAAACAUACAAGACAAAACAGUGAGCAUUGUGAUAAGAGAUAAUACAGUGUCACAGCAGCAAGAAGAAGGAAUUCACGACUCUCAAGAGGUCGAGAUCAUCCUUGAACCACCACUGACCUCAAGGCAAGGCACAAGGUGAAGAGCCCCCGAGUGGCACAGGGAGAUUGAGGGUCUCAUCCCCACUCAUAGGAAUUCAGCCCAUCAGUGGUCUAGACUGAGACAAGAAAUUAAGGAAAUUUGACUCUUAUGCCACUUCUGUAUUUAUCCAUUCAUUCGUGGGAACACUGAGAUUCCACUCCCUGUGCCUGACAGUUUGAACUAACAUUCUUACACGUUGGUAUCACUCAAGAAUCACACUGGGAGAAGGUGGGUUUAGGUUUCUCUAGCUAGAAAAAGACUCACCACAAGGAAUCGAAUGUAAUCCUAGUUCUAAUCCAAUCUAGACCAAAAGGGUCCAGUUACUGUCCACAGAGGGCUGUGUCCAGGAAGGCCAUACUGGUGUGCUCCCAGCCACAGCCCCAGCAUGGCCGACACACAGGAAUGAAAGGUCAUGCCAGCUCCUGCUCCUUCCUUAUCCUAAGAGCCCGAGGCCCACACCUUCCCUUAAACAGACCCAGGGCACAGCCCUUCCUUAAGUCAUCCCAUAACAGUGCUGGACUACCAAAGUCCAAGCCACCACACAGGGAUGACAUAAGUGAGGUUUCCAUCUGCCAAGAGGCCAGAGGAAUGCAAGUGUCACGUCAUGGGGAAGGAAGGCCCAGUAGUAAGAGCCACCUCCGAGGGGCCUUCUUUGUGGAUUGAGGGUGUCUUCUCCAUGCAGUUAGCUUAAUAACAAUAAACGGGUGGACUAGGUUCAUGAUUGAUAAAUUCCUUCUCUACCCAGCCCUCCCCCUGCCCUAGACAAUGUUGGUGUCUGUACAAUUAGAAGGAUCUAUUCUCUUUUUAAUGCGGAAGCAAAGCAGAGUGAUAGGAGCUUGGAGAAAUCGCAGCACAGAUGUCAGGCCGUAGGCCCAAGGGCUGUUAAAAAAAGAAAACUCUGUAAAUGGAAGUGAGGCUUAGUAAGGCACAACCCUUAAGUCUUGGCUCACAAUGCAAAGGAAAAAAAGGAAAAAGAAAAAAGACUGGUGGGUGGGGGAGUUUCCUGAAGCCAUGAGUAAAAUCUGGCAGAAAGCAUUCUAUACAGCCUUUUUUGGUUUCAAUCCGCAUGACAUCACAAUCUGUGAAUUUUGCUGUGAUUGAAUUUGAAUGAACUUGUAGAUUCAAAACAAAACCCAUUUGAAACAAGCUCCACAAAGCAACCCUAUCUUCCCCGCAGCAGUUAAGUGCAUUUCCUAACUGCCUUCUUCUUUUCUGGAUGGCAAGGCCCGCCUGGGACUCACACACCAAGUCCAAACCACACAGACACAUGCAUGCACACGCAUGCAGACACAUACAAGCACACACAGACAUAUGUGCGCACACACAUGCAGAUAUACAUGUGCACAUACACUCAUUCACAGAAACAUACACACACACACCCAGUGGGAGCAGCAGGUCCAAGAGAAGUGGCAGGAGCACUGGACUGGACUGUCGAUUCUACCUGGGAGAACCUGCCCAUCCUUUUGUUCCACUUCCCCUUUUUAUUCCUAUUAUCUUAGUUCUGCCCAGUAAAGGCAAGAAGGAAGACCUAGACCAGCCCUGCAAACACAUUGUGAGCUUAGAGAAACCAGGGCAGAAGAAAAGAAAACCACACAACAGUACUGGUGUGACAAUUAAAGUAUUCCACUAUUCCAGGCU